rnacentral:lncRNA from 1 species
UUUUCCUACCCAAACUUACCUAUCAAAGUCCCCGGCCGGGGGGUGGCCGAAUCCCAGAUAACCUCUCCGGCCGACCAAUCAAAACCCCUUGCGGAAGAACGCGCCUCGCUAGCUUAUGUUAGACAACCAACCAGAAGCAUUAGAACUCAGACCUCGACUCCCCUCGGCUGACCAAUCAGAGCAAUUUCUCGCGAGCGCCGGCAGCAGCGACAGCCAAUGAAGCUAGAAGCCAGCCUAACACCCUCCAGGGUUUCUCUGUAGCUUUGGAGCCUGUCUUGGCACUCACUCCGGAGACCAGGCUGGCCUCGAACUCACAAAGAUCCUGCCUGCCUCUGCGAGUGCUGGGAUUAAAGGCGUGCGCCACCAACGCCACUGGCUUCAGCACACAACAUAAAACAAAACCAGCGCUGCUACAGUUCUUCAUAAAGUAUAAAAAUAACCAAGUUUGGCCCAUGAGAUGUUCUGGAGUUUGCCCUGUCUGGAGUUCAGGCCCUGGGACUCACAUGAAGGAGAGAAAAUGGACUCCCACAAGUUGUCCUCUGAAUUCCACAUAAAUACUUCCCUACUCACCUGUACCUACCCAAUUAAAUACGUGUUAAAAAAAAAAAAACAAGCUCAUUAUGUGAUUAAAUAACAAAAUGGACAGG